UUGAUUAAUAGCAAUAAUUCUCUCGGUGGGUCAGCCUUAACCUUUCUGAUCUUCUCAAAUUCAUUUCUGUGACCUGUAAAAAGAUUAUUCUGAAAGCCUUCACCGACAGAAAAAAAACCUUCAUCUCUAAAGUAAUAUGUCGAUCAGCUUGAUAGAAAAAGAUGGGGGAAAAUCAGUCUUCUCAGAUCACAACUUAAAAUUUAUGAAGAUAGACUUAGUGAAACAGAGAAGAGGGAUCAAAUUGCAUGUUGAAAAUUUGUUUAGGACAGGUGCGGAGAUCUUAACUCGUGUUCCAAAUAGAAGAAUUUCAAAGUAUUUGCAACAAAUUUGGAAACCGGAGCAAGAUACACUCAAGCUGAGACAGAGAGUCAGAGAGAAUGAAAAGGAUAUAAAGAUGAGAAGCCGUUGUUAAUCACAGUGAAGAGAAGGAACAUCAAUCAAUUGUGAGAGUGAAACAGAUUGUUGUAAACGACUUGAAGGCUCUAUUCUGCGAGUAAGCUCGGGUUAACUGUGUGUGUGUGUCUACAUUCCGUUAGACCAAACUUGAGACGACUAGCAAUGGCUUCUUCAACUGUUUUUACUCAUAUCUUAGGUGAUGUACCUUCAUCACCACUAUAUGGAAAAUGGAGGUUUGCAAAUUUCUUCUUCUGUCUUGACAUAAUUAAUAUAACUUUUCCGAAUUAGAUUUUUGAAUCCUCAAUGUUUUUUUUAAUUGGCUAGCAUGCAUUUCAUUCUCAUUGAUUUUUUUUUUUUUGCUUAUCUGCAGUAAUCUGCAGUAGGGUUAUAAUUAAAAGUUAUUGCAGAUAAGCAAAAAAAAUAAUAUAAUACUACUGCAGAUAAUCAAAAAAUAUUAUUGCUUCUUUGAAAAAAAAUGAAUGUCUAUGUGAUUUUAAACAUUUUUUUGUUUGAAUGAAAAUGUUCAUGCUGGAAAAAAAAUCAAUGCUUGGAGGUCACAGAGAUCAAUUCAUGUGGUAUAUACUACACGACCAAAAAGUGGUUAGUAAUAUCAUACUUCCUGAAUUCAGAAAGUAAGAUCUACCCUGCGAAGACUAGUCACCCACGUUCUUGUAUAUGAGACAGAAGAAUAAUUUUCUCCAUAACAAUACCCAUCUCUCUUCAGCCGAAACAUUCAAAUUAUUGGACAGAGAUGUGAGGAACACGAUCACCGCUCGGCGCAACAAGCGCAACUUCAACAACCUCAUGGCGCUUUGGAUCAGAUGACCGAGUCUUCUCAACCGCCUAUAACUACUCCUUUUCUUGUUUUUUAUUUAAUUUUUGCCAAGAAGGAUGUAUGUAAAAGUCUUUCCAUUGUAGAGACAAACUGCUCAUUUUAACUAAUGAUAUUUACAAUUUAGCAAAAAAAAAAGAUCUAUUUCUUUGGUAGGUUAAAUCUGCAAUGAUUCAAAUAAGGCUGCAUAGGAGCAUAGGAGCAAAUGUCAUAUUUCAUGUCUAAGCAACGGAUGAUUGUUGCAUUUAAUGGUUUUAUGUUAAGAUCGAAAUUUUACAUGUC